UACGUAGGGGGCAAGCGUUGUCCGGAAUCAUUGGGCGUAAAGCGCGUGUAGGCGGCUUGGUAAGUCCGCUCUGAAAGCCCGGAGCUCAACCCCGGGAGGCGGGUGGAUACUGUCAAGCUCGAGUCCGGAAGAGGCGAGUGGAAUUCCUGGUGUAGCGGUGAAAUGCGCAGAUAUCGGGAGGAACACCAAUGGCGAAGGCAGCUCGCUGGGACGGUACGUGACGCUGAGACGCGAAAGCGUGGGGAGCAAACAGGG
rnacentral:rRNA from 1 species